GGGGAAUUAUCUCAGUUCAUAGAGCACUCGCUUAAUAUGCAAGAGGUGGUAGGUUUAAUACCUGCUUUCUCCA
rnacentral:tRNA from 1 species